GUUGUGGCUCAGCGGUAGAGUGUUCGCCUAGCAUAGGCAAGGCCCUGGGUUUGAUCCUCAGCACCACA
rnacentral:tRNA from 1 species